GGGAUAAAUAUUAAGGGCUUAUGAAGGAUGCCUUGACAUAAAGAGCCGAUGAAGGACGUGGCGUGACUGCGAUAAGCCUCGGGGAGGUGUCUAGCAACCUUUGAUCCGGGGAUGUCCGAAUGGGGAAACCCAGCGCAACUCAAACUGCGUUACGCGCCGUUUUCGCUGCUAAAUUUAAAAUUUAAAAUUAAAAGUUAUGGUAUAAAUUUUUUAAUUUUUCACUUUUCACUUUUAAUUUAGCGUCGUAAGCGGCGCGAGGGAACCCGCCGAAGUGAAACAUCUCAGUAAGCGGAGGAAAAGAAAAAAAUCGCGAAGCAAUUUUUUCAGCCACUAGUGACUAAUUAAUAGUUGAUAGUGGUUGGGAAUUUUGCUUCGCAAAAUUCCCCAAGUAGCGGCGAGCGAAAAGGGAAGAGCCUAAACCGUUGCUUCGCAACGGGGUUGCAAGGUAAUAAUGUUUUGGAGCUGAAUACAUAAAUUUUAUGUAUUUAGUUUCAAAAGGAGUUUAUAAAAUAAAGAUUGGUUAGUUGAAUCUUUUUGGAAAAAAGAACCAAAGAGGGUAAUAGUCCCGUAGAUGAAAACUUCUUUAUACUCCUAAUUAUUAUUCUUAAGUACCAUGGGACCAGACUAUCCCAUGGGAAGCCGGCAGUCCUACUAUGUCCGCCAAAGCAUUAGCGGAGGCGGACUCUGCCAAGGCUAAAUACUCUUUAUGAUCGAUAGUGAACUAGUACCGUGAGGGAAAGGUGAAAAGCAGCCCGUUGAGGGCGGUGAAAUAGAACCUGAAAUCAUAAGCCUACAAGGACUCGGAGCUCUGACAUUAUGUCGGAGUGACGGGGUGCCUUUUGCAGAAUGAGCCAACGAGUGUAUAUGGGCGGCUUUGUUUAAGUUCGUCAUAGAACGGAAACACAGUGAAAGCAAGGGUUAACAGCCCGCUUUUGUCGCCUACAUACGACCCGAAGCCAAAGCGAGCUAACCAUGACCAGGAUGAAUCCGCCGUAACUGGCGGAGGAGGUCCGAACCCACUAGCCGUGCAACACUAGGGGAUGAGUUGUGGUUAGAAGUGAAAAGCUAAUCGAGCUUGGUAAUAGCUGGUUCUCCCCGAAAUAUCUUUAGGGAUAGCCUCAAACUAAAAGUCCGGAGGUAGAGCACUGAAUGGUUUGACAUGACUUUUGUCUAGUCUGACCAAUCAAACUCCGAAUGCCGGGCCAAAUAGGUUUGGGAGUCAGACUGUGGGGGCUAAGCUCCAUAGUCGAGAAGGAAACAGCCCAGAUUGUCGUCUAAGGUCCCUAAGUUAAGUUCAGUGGUAAAGGAAGUGAAGUUUCUCUAACAUCUAGGAGGUUGGCUUAGAAGCAGCCAUCCUUUAAAGAGUGCGUAACAGCUCACUAGUCUAGAGACUCUGCGCCGAAGAUUUAACGGGGCUAAACUUAACACCGAAGACACAGAUGCCGAUGCUUCGCAUCGGCGUGGUAGGGGAGCGUUUCAUAUUCAGCGAAGCUAUUUUGUAAGAAAUAGUGGAGAGUAUGGAAGUGAGAAUGUUGGCAUAAGUAACCGCAAUUCCGGUGAGAUAUCGGAACGCCGAAAGCCUAAGGUUUCCUUGGCAAUGUAUAUCAGCCAAGGGUUAGGCGGGCCUAAGCGCAGCGCAGUUUUUAGCUGUGUGAGCGCGAUGGACAGCCGGUUAAUAUUCCGGCCCCCCAAUGUUUUUUCAAAAAGGUGACGGAGUUUAGUAGUUUGGGUGAGUUAUUGGAUUCUCAUUGCUUAUCUAAGAUUUUUCAAGGAUAAGCAGAAUGUCUUGCUUUGGCAAGGCAGACCCAAAUGAGCAAGCUUCCAAGAAAAGCCUUUGCGAGCUAAAAAUGCUGGGUCCGUACCGAAAACCGACACAGGUGGGCAGGGCGAGUAGCCCAAGGCGAACGGGUGAUUCCUCGUGAAGGAAUUCGGCAAAACAGCAGGCGUAACUUCGGAAUAAGCCUCACCCUGAUGAUGAAUCAGGGUUUCAAUAAAAGACUCCUGGCGACUGUUUACCAAAAACACAGGUCCCUGCUAACUCCAAAAGAGGAUGUAUAGGGGCUGACGCCUGACCAGUGCUAGAAGGUUAAACCGGACGGUCUUUGUUAGUUUUAAACUAAUGAUUGCCUGAAGGCCAAGCCCUAGUAAACGUCAGCAAUAACUAUAAUUGUUCUAAGGUAGCGAAAUUCCUUGGCAUCUAAUUAGUGUCCCGCACGAAUGGCGUCACGACUGGGAGACUGUCUCCACGAGGAGCCCGGUGAAAAUGCAGUGGGGGUGAAGAUGCCCCCUUCCUGCGGCAAGACGGAAAGACCCUAGAAGCUUUACUAUAGCUUGGUAUUGAGUUUUGGUUUUGGAUGCGUAGCAUAGAGGGGAGGCUUUGAAGUUUGCCUUUCGGGGCAAAUGGAGCCGUCAGUGAAAUACCCUUCUUUCAAAAUCUUAACCCUAAUCCGCCAAAAAGCGGUGACAGUGCCAGGCGGGUAGUUUUAGUGGGGCGCUAGCCUCCUAAAAGGUAACGGAGGCGUUUAUAAGGUCGGCUAAGCCCGGAUGGAAAUCGGGCUGGUCGUGUAAAGGCAGAAGCCGGCUUUACUGCAAGGCGGACAUGCCGCGCAGUUGCGAAAGCAGAACUUAGUGAUCCGCUGGUAGGUUGUAGAACCGCCAAAGCUCAUCGGCCAAAAGCUACUCUAGGGAUAACAGGCUAAUAGGUCCCAAGAGUCCAUAUCGACGGACCUGUUUGGCACCUCGAUGUCGGCUCACCACAUCCCGGGGGUGAAGAAGCUCCCAAGGGUUUGGCUGUUCGCCAAUUAAAGUGGUACGCGAGCUGGGUUCAGACCGUCGUAAAUAUGCUGAAUCAUAAGAGAUCGAGAUCACACGGCGGCUUCCACGAGUAAUCGUGGUCGAAGAAGUCGACUCAUAUCGGUGAAGUCCUAAUAGUAUAUUGAUUUACAACCUGUCGUAUGUUAGGAUAAUACCGAGGGAAGUCAUCUAUGUGCAAACUCUUUCGUCAACCAAAAAAGCAUACAUUGCUGGAUUUCUUGAUGCCGACGGAAGUAUUUAUGUAAGAGCAAAACCAAAUUCUGAUUAUCGUUAUGGUUUUCAAAUAGCUCCUUACAUAGUAUUCUUUCAAUCAGCAAAAGAGCGGCAAAAAUUUGAAGAAGUGUGUUCUUUGAUUGGUUACGGAAGAAUGAGAGAACGUAAAGAUGGAAUACUUGAGUAUGCAAUAAAUAGAAUUGAUGAGAUAAAAGAAUUUCUAAAUUGCGUCCAUCCGUUCGUUGUAAUAAAGAAGAAACAAGCAGAGUUAAUGCUUGAGAUUAUUGAUAAAAAAUCGAGAGUAAAGAAUGAAAAAAACUUUGAAUAUUUACUUAAGCUUGUGGAUUCUUACAGAGAACUUAACUACUCUAAAAGACGUAAACGACAUAGAUUGACCCCGUAGAGACUUGGCGCCCAAGGCGCCGGAGUUUACAUAAAGAGUGUAGACUAAUAUGUCGACCUCCUGCAGAAAUGUGGGAUGGUGGUAUAGUCCAUGCAUUUAGUAAUAGAUGAUUUAUGCGUGAGACAGGUUGGUCCCUAUCUGCCGCAGGCGUUGAUACUUGAGGGAAGUCUUUCUUAGUACGAGAGGACCGGAAAGAACAGACCUCUGGUCUGCCAGUUGGCCCGCUCGGGCCAUAGCUGGGUAGCUAUGUCUGGCGAGGAUAAGCGCUGAAAGCAUAUAAGCGCGAAGCCUUCCCUAAGAUUAGGUAUCGUAGAUUCGUGGAAGAUGACCACGUAAAUAGGCUGCAGGUGUAAGCUUAGUAAUAAGUUUAGCCGAGCAGUACUAAUCAAUCAUAAUCUAUCCCGU
rfam:Candidatus Portnoybacteria bacterium RIFCSPHIGHO2_01_FTLL_40_12b rifcsphigho2_01_scaffold_1520, whole genome shotgun sequence.